UAUGCGAACCAUCUGAGUUAGAAAGAGAAUUGAAACACCUAGAAAGGGCCUUUCGUUGGAAUGGAUACAGCAAGAACGAGUUUAAUAGAGCAAUUCGUCCAAGAAACAGUGGAGGUCAUCCUGAGAAAACAGAUACGCAUGAUGAGCGUAAGGGUGUAACAUGGAACUCGAACAAUUCAACAGACUUUGAGCUCGGCCAAUGACAAACGGGAUCCUUUAUCAGCACCAGGAGUCUACAGAGCUCUGUUUCGAUUGCUGUUGUGGCAGAGCAUCUAUCGGCACCACAAAACGUAGUGUAAACACGAGGAUCACUGAGCAUAAUAGAAGUUGCAGAUUAGGACAAACAGAAAAAUCAGCAGUAGCGGAGCACGCACUUCUAGACGGCUACCAAAUACGUUUCGAUGAAGGGGACAUCUUGCACCAAUCUCAACGGAAAGAAGAAGUAACGGCCCUUAAUCCAGAUGGGAAACGCGUUUUGCGGCAAACCGCAUGUGCGCCGAAUCCAUUGAAGCCCCGCCCACUCCUCACGCAUGAGCUCACACGGCCGGGCCGCCUAAAUACGACAGGGGAUCCAGUAGUUGCACCUAUCCGUAGAAUAAGUAGCAGUAAGAAGUAUGUAAAACUUGUCUGAAAUAAAUGUGUUCAAAAGCAGUA
rnacentral:lncRNA from 1 species